GAUGAACGCUGGCGGCGUGCCUAAUACAUGCAAGUCGAGUGAAUGGAUUAAGAGCUUGCUCUUAUGAAGUUAGCGGCGGACGGGUGAGUAACACGUGGGUAACCUGCCCAUAAGACUGGGAUAACUCCGGGAAACCGGGGCUAAUACCGGAUAACAUUUUGAACCGCAUGGUUCGAAAUUGAAAGGCGGCUUCGGCUGUCACUUAUGGAUGGACCCGCGUCGCAUUAGCUAGUAGGUGAGGUAACGGCUCACCAAGACAACGAUGCGUAGCCGACCUGAGAGGGUGAUCGGCCACACUGGGACGGAGACACGGCCCAGACUCCUACGGGAGGCAGCAGUAGGGAAUCUUCCGCAAUGGACGGAAGUCUGACGGAGCGACGCCGCGUGAGUGAGGAAGGCUUUCGGGUCGUAAAACUCUGUUGUUAGGGAAGAACAAGUGCUAGUUGAAUAAGCUGGCACCUUGACGGUACCUAACCAGAAAGCCACGGCUAACUACGUGCCAGCCGCCGCAGUAA
rnacentral:rRNA from 1 species